rnacentral:sRNA from 1 species
CCUGAGGCUUCCAGUCCCUUCAGAGUACUUGCCAACCAGUCCAAGCCCUCAUAAAGACCAUCACCUUUGAGGGCACAAGAGCCUUGGAUAUGCCAGAUGCGAUUCUUUAAAUCAUAGAGGCCAAGGCCUUCGCACACCUCCAACGGCUGCUGUUGACUUACCAUAUCUUGUUUAUUGGCAAAUACCAAUAUUACACUGUUAAGCAUCAAAGGAUCAUUAACGAUUGCCUGCAACAAAGCCACCAAACCUUAGCUUCACUAACAAGGCAAGCAACAAAACAUACCAAACCAUCCGUAUUAUUGAAGUAAUGCCUCCACAGAGGCCUCAACUUCUCUUGGCCACCGACAUCCCAUACUGUAAACAUCACGUUCUUGUACUGUACUUUCUCAACAUUGAACCCUGGUGGAACAGUCGAAAGGACCUCCCCGAUGUGCAGCUUGUACAGGAUGGUGGUUUUGCCCGCGGCAUCCAGCCCAAGCAUCACGACC